rnacentral:tmRNA from 1 species
GGGCUUGUACUGGUUUCGACGGGGGUCUAGAAGGUAGGAUAGCCAUCCGUGGUCCCAUUCCACGUUAAACCGGGGAACUAAAUAUAAACGCUAAACCUGAAUUAGCAUUAGCAGCCUAGUUGCUGCUUGUCCUUCCCGGGUCACCCGCUGCGCGGGGUAAGGGCAUCAAACCUGCGGGGAACUCUUAUACCAAAGCUUUGAGGUAUAAGAAGCAACCAUGAAGCUACCGAAGUGUCAAGCCUGUCAUUGGGCAUGAUGCCGGGGGAAUCAAUAUACAAUGACUGUGAUGGGAGAAGUCUUAGUGAAAGGGCUUUCGGACGCGGGUUCGAUUCCCGCCAGGUCCA